AAAGAAGUCUCUGCGCACAGACCGUGUAGUAGGUACUGUUCCAUGGGAAGAGAGUGGUGUUCGAUUUAGGUCUAAAGUUGAUCUCUAUCGCUAUCCUAAAAUGAGUAUUUUAAAAGAGGAUUUGAUUAUUAUGCUACUGCUUGCUAAUAGAAGAAAUGGCAGCGGUGGCCGAGGAAGGAGAGGGAUGGUAUUUAAAUAUAUUUGCUUUGGGGGUACUCUGUUUA
rnacentral:lncRNA from 1 species